GGAUUAGAUACCCUGGUAGUCCACGCCGUAAACGAUGAGAACUAGACGUUGGGUAUUUAUACUUGGUGUCGCAGCUAACGCAUUAAGUUCUCCGCCUGGGGAGUACGGCCGCAAGGUUGAAACUCAAAGUAAUUGACGGGGGCCCGCGCAAGCGGUGGAGCAUGUGGUUUAAUUCGAUGCAACGCGAAGAACCUUACCUACACUUGACAUCAUCAGAACUUGUUAGAGAUAACUCGGUGCCUUCGGGAACGGAGAUACAGGUACUGCAUGGCUGUCGUCAGCUCGUGCCG
rnacentral:rRNA from 1 species